ensembl:lncRNA
AAGAGUGUCUGUUUCAAGGCCCCCGAACUCGCUCCUCCUUCAUCUCGUAACAGCGCAGCGUAGGGGGGCUUGAAACCGCCCAAUCGGACAAAGAGGGUGAAAAAAAAGUCGUGCAGUUCUGCAACCCAGCUCGCGGCUGUUGCUCGGGAAAGUUGUGAGAAGUUCGCGUGUAGUUCGUCUGUUUUUUUGUAGUGGAGUAAUCUGUAAUCAUAUUUCUCCCUCAUGAGCUCCAUCACUCUCUUUGGAAAGCUGUUUCAAAUUAAAAAGUCAAGUACAGACACUUACUCAUCUGCACAAAGGCACUGAAGCCUGGAAUCCCCCUGAAAGACGAAGGACGGUAAUUCAACUCCUGCCUGCUGAUGUCAGGAGACGGAUGAAGUGGAAGAGUAAAUCCAC